CGGUAGCUAAUUGCUAACCACAUCCUUCAUCCAUGGUCACCAAGUUCUUCCUCAGACCCAACUCUGUUCCCCUUACCGUCGUCUCCCCAACCCAUUUGUUCCUCUUCCCUAAACCCCUUCUCUCCAAGUUCACCAUUAGUUCUCUUUUUUCGACAGCUACUCAGGCAAUAAUCCCAAACCCAAAAGCCCUCCCCUAUGGACCCUCUCUUCUCAAAGGAAAAAUCCCAUUUCAAUACUCACAACAACAGCAGCAACAAGAGCAAUACUGCCAAUCCCAAUUUGGUAUAAAACUGC
rnacentral:misc_RNA from 1 species